rnacentral:piRNA from 1 species
UACAACUAUGGCUAAACUAAU